GACCCAGUAAGGGAUCUGUUGCGCCACAGGGGUCUCCAGGGCCCUCGCAGGUUGGGGUGGUCUGAGCUAGUCUGAAGGAGGACAGUCAGCUGACUUCUCCUUUAUCUCUCUUUCCCAGGAUAGCAGGUUCCCUUGGUGUAUUACAGUUUCUGAAGUGUUGAUUCCCUUUUCAAUUGAUUCCACAGAUGACAGUCCUGACGUUUAAAAAAUUGCCAGAUAACCUUUAAUUUUUUUUUUUUUAACAGAACACAAACUUAAGCCAGAUUGCCUAGGAUUGAACCUUGGCCUCUCACUUCCUAGACGAGUGGCCUUGGCUAGUUAACCACCUUCGUGAGCCUCAGUUUUGUCAUCUGUAAAAUGGGAGUCAUAAGUGUCUACCUCACAGAGCUGUGAUUGAAAGGAUAAAUAGCACCUUGCACAUAGCGGUGUAGAAGUGCUUGUUAUUGUUAAUAUUUUAUUUACCUUCACGCAGCCUACAGUGGCGGAAGUGGAGUAAGACAUCAUGUUGCCUCAAGUUUAAUUGGAAAUCGCGUGCCUUGUGAAGAAUGGACACUCAGUAGAUGCUUAUUGAUGAACCUGUUGGUUGAGGAUAACUCGCUAACUUUUCUGAGCUUUGUUGGAAAAACUAGCAAGUGUGUAUCAUUGGCCCCAAGCACCUUCUGUCUGUUGACCUGGCUCAAACUUCAAUCUGACCAUCAGUGAAGAAGGCUGAUGCCGCAGAUGGAGAGAGACACAGGAUGUAUGAAUGUAGCAUAACUCAGGAUUCACCUCGUGUGGUCCUUCCCACUUGAACCCUAUCCUAAGUGUGAAAGUUACCCCAUCGCUUUCCUCUUGCUUCAGAUUAUGUGCUUUAAAGUGAUUUAAUAAACUAUGCGAUUCAAACAUCUUAAUUUGAUCUUUGAGCCUGUUUUGUGACUUCCGGGAUAGCUUGCCUUGUAGUGUACUUGUAGGUCACCAUUGCAUCAAGGUAAUUUCUCAUGACAACUACAAAAAACUUAGAAAAUAAGAACAUAGCAUUGUAUAGCAUAAAGGAAAGCAAUCUGAAGAGGAGAAAGACAGGUAGUCACAAAUUGUGUCAUUAAUAGACUGAAAGACCAAAAAAGUAAAGGACAAACCAAAAGACAGUGUGGAGAAGAUUUUUUUCUAAAUUGAUUUAUAGAAAAAGGAAUGAGACAAGAAAGAAAGACAUGGUUUGGGCAAUGUAUAAAUGUCAUUGAUCCCAAUUCUACUUUAUUUCUGAGACCAAAAUAACAGUUUCAGAGGUGACUACCACAAGGUCCAACAAGUGGACUCAUCCCUGAAUUUCUUCCUCCUCCUCCUUCUUUCUUCUUCCUCCUCCUCCUCUUCUUUCUUUCCUUCUUUCCUUUCCUCUUUCUCUCUCUUUCUUUUUCUUUCUUUCUUCCUUUCUUUCUCUCUCUCUUUCUCUCUAUUUCUUUCUUUCUGUGUCUCUCUCUUUCUUUUUCUUUUUUUCUUUCCUUUUCUUUCUUCUUUUUUUUUUUCCUCAAAAAGAAUCUCUUGCUCUGCUGCCCAGGCUGGAGUACAGUGGUGUGAUCACAGCUCACUAUAAUCUCAAACUCCUGGGCUCAAGUAAUCCUCUCACUUCAGCCUCCCAAGUAGCUAGGACAACAGGUGCACAUCACCACACCCAGCUAAUUUUUUAUUUUAUUUUUUCUAGAGACAGGGGUCUCACUAUGUGAUGCAGGAUGAUCUCAAACUCCCUGGCCUCAAGCGAUCCUCCUGCCUUGGUCUCCUAAAGUGCUGGGAUUACAGGUAUGAGCCACUGCACCUGGCCUAUCCUGAAUUUUUUUAAUUCAUGCUACAUAGCAUUACAAGUUUGUAAAAAAAAAAAAAAGUUUACGACAUUUUUAAAGACAGAAAAGUAAUAGGCUUUAAAAAUACCUAUAACUAGGAAGGAAAUGCAUAUAAAAUACUACUUUCAAUAAAAGUUUUAUUAUUUAUAUAAAAUUACUGAAACAUUCCCUGUAAAUUUAUUCCUAUCUAAAAAAAUAUUAAUAAUGCACCUAUCUUAAAUAUUUGUGGGAUAAAAAAUUUAGUAAAAUGAAAUAUACCUUUAAAAUGAAAGUAGGCCAGGCAUGGUGGCUUACACCUGUAAUCCCAGUACUUUGGGAGGCCGAGGCAGGUGGAUCACCUGAGGUCAGGAGUUCGAGACCAGCCUGGCCAACAUGGCAAAACCCCAUCUCUACUAAAAAUACAAAAGUUAGCUGGGGAUGGUGGCGUGUACCUGUUAUCCCAGCUACUCGGGAGACUGAGGCAGGAGAAUUGCUUGAACCCAGGAGGUGGAGGUUGCAGUGAGCUGAAAUUGUGCCACUGCACUCAUUCCAGCCUGGCCAAAAGAGCAAAACUCCGUCUCAAAAAAAAAAAAAAAAAAAAAAAAAAAAAAAAGAAAAGAAAAAAAGGUAAUUUAUUUGUAAUUUGUAAUUUAUCUCUUUUGUAAUUUAUUUUCUUUAGCAGGUCACUGUAUCUCUAUGCAUUACAGAAAAUGGCUAGUUAAAAACUUGUCAAGGCCAGUUGCAGGCAUGAUACCAGCAGUCUGGGAGGUAGAGACAAGAGGACACAUCUCUGCUGCUCCCUUCUUUCCCCAUGGUUAUGCGCCAACUUUGGUUUCACCAGGCCUACAGUGCUUCCCAGGUUUGGAGUGUGGGGAAGGAGAAGAUUUAAUGGAAGCAGCUUAAGGGAAAUGCUCAAACUAAACUGAUACUUUCUUCAUGAUCUAGCAUUGAAACUUUCUGGACUUGACAGAUAUUUAAAAUUAACUCUUUUUCUCAUUAACAUUUUCAUGGGUUCUUCCAAGAUCCACAUUACCCAACCUGUGGGUUCCCAUGACAAGGAUUAAGGCAUCUCUGUUUCUUCUGGACCUUUAUUUACCUGGAUUCUUUCUCUAGGGACUGUUUACCCUUAUGGGCCAUCCUUUUGAGCAUAACCUAACAAGAUUCAUGCUGGCUUUAAGUGAGUGGUCCACAUUUGGUUCAUGGGAAAACCACAUAGUUUGUCCCCAGCAAACCUGGAAGUAAUAUUUAUUUUACUGCUGGAAUUAAGGAAAACCAAAAAUCCUAUUACAAAAUGGCUCCUCUAAACAUUCACAUUACCCCUUUUUGUCUCUACCCCCUGAGGAACUAACCAACUCUAGCUCUUUGGAUUUUCCAAAUGAGAGGUCAACACAUCGAUGUCUCCAAGACCUUAAGUUCUUCUAGUGGUCUCUUUAAGCUUCCUCCCUUGAAUUAUGGUGAAAAGGGACUGCCUGCUACCCCCUCCUCUUGAGGAGAGGGGUGGUAUCACAGCCUAACAAUAAUUUCCAAAAAUUUUCUCCUCCAGCUCUAAUGCUUAACCAGUUUAGACUUUCAAAGUGGAUAAUGUAAUUUAAAGCCUUACAGCUAGUUAUGCUCUACUUCUUCUAUAAGUCCUGCAACCAGGUGGUCUCAAUCCUCACUUGCGAAUACUGCAUUUACUCACCUUGUGCCCUAGCCAAAACUUCCACAACAAAUUCUGUGGUGCAUUUAAGUGAAAGAUGUUAUUUGAUUGAUAGAGAGAUAGAUAGAUAGAUACAGAUAUAGAUAUAGAUAUGUAUUAGAACCAUGUCAAAUGGUUAACUUUUUUAAAAAGGUAAAUUUUUUAUAUUGAGAUAAUUAUAGAUUCUCAUACACUCGUAAGAAAUAACACAGAAAGAUCCCAUGUAGCCUUUAUCCAGUUUCCCCAGUGAUAAUAUCUUGCAAAACUAUAGUCCAAUAUCACAACCAAGAUACUGGCAUUGAUAGAUCACUUCCAUCACCACAAACAUCCCUCAUGUUGCCCUUUUAUAGCCACACUCAUUUCCCUCCUGCUGCCACCCUCUCCUUUACCCAUAACCACUUAUCUGUUCUCUAUUUUUGUAAUUUUAUCAUUUCAAGAAUACUGUAGAAAUGGAAUAAUACAGUAUGUAUUUUAGGGCUUAUCUUUUCUACACUCGGCAUGAUUCUCUGGAGAUUCAUCCAGGUUGUUGCAUGUAUCAAUAGUUCAUUCCUUUUUUACUGCUGAACAGUAUUCCAUUGUAUGUAUGUACCAUAGUUUAACUAUUUGCUCAAUGAAAGACAUAUAUUAAUAGUUUCCAGUUUUUGCUGUUAUGAAUAAAGCUACUAUAAACAUUCAUGUACAGGUUUUUGUAUUAAUGCAAGUCUUCAUUUCUUUGGAAGAGAUGACUGAAGUUCAAUUACUGGGUUACGUGGUAGUUGCAUAUUUCUUUUUUAAAGAAACUGCCAAACUGUUUUUCAGAGCAUCUGUAUCAUUUUAUAUUCUCACCAGCAACGUAUCAAUGACCUAGUUUCUCUACAUCCUUUCUAGCCUUAAUUGUCUUUGUUUUUUUAUUUUACUUUGUUUGUUUGUUUUGAGACAGGGUCUUUCUCUGUUGCCCAGGCUGGAAUUCAGUAGUGUAAUCAAGGCUCACUGAAGCCUGACCUCCCGGCUGAAGUGAACUGCCCACCUCAGUGCUGGAAGUAGGGUGGGGCGUCAGCCACCAGUAGCAGGACUGUAGGCAUCUGCCACCAUGCCUGGCUGAUUUCUCUUUUUUCUUUUUGCAGAGAUGGGGUUUUACUAUGUUGGAGAAGCUGGUCUCAAACUCCUGGGCUCAAGUCAUCCUCCCGCCUCAGCCUCCCAAAGUGCUGAGAUUACAGACGUGUGCCUGGCCUAUUUUACUCGUUUUAAUAGAUGUUGAGGGCUCAUGACACUCCUGGUGGCCAUAUACGCAGAGGUCAGGGAGAGAAAGGGACCUGUGGGCCAGCACCCUUAUUGGGUCCAGAGAGCUAUCCAAACAAGUUUCCAGCAGGGAAUUUAAUUGGUGGAUUUAAAGCAAGCAGGCAUGAGUUCCAGGGGGCCACACUGACUGAGACCCAAACACACUUGGAGGUCAUGUUCAAUAUGAAUACCUCACAGAGAAGGAAAUUUACACACAAGAAGUACAUCUGCAGAAAGCCAGCUGGCAUGUCAACCAUUCAAAAACUCAGGAAGUUCGGGAUAAAGAAGACUCAGGAAGACAAGUAUGAAGCAUAAUCUGCGACGUUCCAUGCGGCAGACGUUAGACACAUACAAGAGAGUUGUUGAAAAGUGGAAUUUAUCUUCAUAUAAACAACACUGAGCUAAAUCUCAAUAUUUCAGAUCUCUAGAACUAUCCAUCAAUGAAAUGGAUUGCAAAUAGAAAGAGUAAUACCAUGUCACUUAAGAAUACAAUCAUGGACGAUGCUGCCACCUGCUGUUGGGGGCCACUGCAGAAGAAAUUCCAGAACACUGGACUGGAGAGCACCUCACUUUCCUUACAGCUCUAAGUUUCUGACUCAGUGACCUGAUUCAGUACCAUAUACACAAAGACCCACUUACACAAAUGACUGUUCUUCACACUAGGCCCAUGGAGACAGGGAUAAAAUUCUGAAUUUGCUCAGAUACCUUCUCUGCUAUUGACAUCUAGGCAUUACACAAUUCAUCUCUUCAUACUUAACCUUUGAAGUUUGCUACUUCUCAGAGAGACUAAUGAGUAGUGAGCAAAUAUCCUGAAGCUGAGAAUGCUUCUACCUCCUCUCAAAACAACAGAAUAUUCAUCAAAACACAGCAGUUCUGCACUUAACUUUAGGCCUUUUCUAACACCUCAUUUCUUGGCAGUAACUGUGGCCAGAAUAGCUCUUUCCACAGAGAAAGGACCUUUUGAAAGGAUAGGGUCUCUAGAUAGAAAAGCAAAUGCCUCAUUCCAGAAGGUCUUCAAGAAGAAAAUGUUGUGGUGAUAACAAACAUAACUGAUUAUAAUCUAUUCUGUGAAAAAAGCUUAUGAAACAGUAGAUGUGUGUAUCUAGUACAUAAGAGCUGAAUGUCAAUAUAUAUAUAUAUAUAGAUAUAUACACACACUCAAAUAAAUAAUAGUUAUCUCUAACUAGAGAAAUUCUAGUUGCCUUAUAUUUUCUUCUUUUUCCUUACUAUAUUUUCUACAAUAAACAUGUGUUUUUAACAAGAAAAGUCUUUUCUGGUGUGCUUUUUAAUUUUCUUUGUUUAAGUGAGAGUGAGGCUACAUAACUACAUGGCUAGGUAGACUUUUAGAAAACUUGGCUGCUCUAGAAAAUUGACAUAUCCUGAUUUCUUCCAUAGCUUGGAUCUUGACCUAGAGGGAAAUAUAAAAAUGUUGACUUGAACCUGAGGGGUGCCAUUUUCACUGCUGAAGUAGUUUCAUGGAUCAUGAAUUGGAGAAAUGACUUCAGCAACACGGGUGUUAAAAACAGCACAAGUGACCCACAACAGAUGAUGGAGAACAAAGAGCAAGCUGGGAAAAGCAGUGGCCUUUAAUACAGAAAAGAAGAAGUAUAGCCACAAUAAAUAUUAGGCAGACAGCAGUUCAGCAGUUUAUACUAUUAAGCUGUUGUUUAGGGGAAUGGUAAACC
rnacentral:lncRNA from 1 species